UCAUUCUCACCAUUUCCAUAUCCCAAUCUUUCUCCUUGAAACCCCCUCUUAAAAAGGCACAAAUUUUUAGACUUCUUUCUUCUUUGGUUGGAACCUCCUGACACCGUUGUUUUUAAUUUCAUCUGGCUUGCAUAAGCAAGGUAAUCCUGAAUCUUAAAUAUUUCCAUGAAUAUCCCCCAGGUAAGGUCUCAAUCUUAACGGAAAGGCUAUCAUGUUAGUUGAGGAAUUUGUUAAUAUCAAGGAAAAACUAAUGUGGGAAGGGAGCAUAAUUGCAAUGCUAAGUAUGGACCUGAAACUGUAAUGAUACAUACAUGAUUUCUUGGUAACCUGAAAUGGCUAUGGGCUAUGUGCUUGGAAAACCAAUCAUGAGGCAUGAAGGUCAUGCUGAUUUGAAACAGAGCAUAAAGGACUUAAUUUUCCUAUUUGCAUGAGGGGGGAUUUGAAUAAAGGGUCCCAUUUGUGUGUUUUGUAAUGUGUUGAUAAAUCUUUCUCUAUUGAUUACAUUCCCUUUCAGCUAUAUUUAAAAGACUUGGUAGUAUCAUUUUCAUUUUUAUCUUAUUUCAGGAAGAAGUGACUUUGAGUUUGCUAGAGACAAGCAGCAGUGGGCAGUGGCUAUUGUCAUCAAAGAAAAGCAAAGGGAUGCUUCUAGUGUUGUAUAUCAUAUUGGCUUGGGAUGUGCUGAUUUUGCUGUCCAUUUAAAUAGACUAGAACUUUCAAUCAAUUUGCAUGGUUUAUACUUUGUUGUAGUGUACAAAACCUUACUAACAGGCCAUGCUAUUUAUCUUCUUCCUGUAGAUUUUAUUUGAGAAUACUGCACCAGUAUGUAUUUGAUAACAAUUUUUAGCGACAGAUUCUUAAGAAAGAGAUAAGCAAAGCACACAUAAAAUUAGUGGAGCCUUUGAUUAAGGGACCUACUAGAUGUCUUCGAUAUACACAAUAAGAGACAGAGAGUUCUCUGGUGUGGAUGUCAAAGAGGAUCUGGCUUCUCUCCUUUCUCCCCUCUCACCUGGCUUCACACAGCAUCCCAUCACAACUCGAUUUUACGAAAAGACUGAGGCGCAAGCAGUGGUGCUUACAUUGACUUGACUUAUGGUCUUCAAAGAGGCGCAAGAUCUUAUGGAUUUUAAUUCUGCAGGAAUGAUUGAUUGGUUUCAGGAAUCGGCUUUGAGUUGAGAUGUGUUGCAUGGAAGCUCCUCAAAAUCUCCCAAGGUGCAAGCAAAGGAGAUUCUAAUUUGCAUGUCUGCUACCAUUUGACGUAGAUCAUAAGUUUCUUCCUUAAGGCAUGCCUUCUAUUGAGGGCUCUGUCAUAGGACUCAGACACAUGGUUGAGUUUAAGAACAAGGUUGUGGUUCUCAAUACUAAGUCUGACAACCUUUGACCACAGUCCGUUCAAGUGCUUUUGCUUCUUCAUCCUUGAUCUGUGGGCAAACUGUGUUAGACAUCAUUCACCUGUGCUUCCUUUUGUCGAUUAUCUGAACUGAAGUUCAUUUGCUUCAGCAUAAGUUCAAUUGUUGUCGAGGAAUGAAGAAUGAGCAAAUUCAGAUGGGAAAGUGGAAGUUUGGCUCGAGGCUUAAGAGGCUAUUUAGAUAAAGGUUUUAUGAGUAUGUACUGAUUAUCUAUUUGUUUGUAUUUGAAAAAGCCAAUACAUUGAAUUAAUGCUUCAAACCCAUUUAGCGGAUUUGGUGGAAUAUUUUUUUACAUUGAUAAGGUUAUUGGUUUAAAUUCUAUGUAAAUCAUGUAAGGAAAGUUAAUGUUUUAUUUUCUGUGUUUCAA